rnacentral:rRNA from 1 species
GCAGUGGGGAAUAUUGCACAAUGGGCGCAAGCCUGAUGCAGCCAUGCCGCGUGUAUGAAGAAGGCCUUCGGGUUGUAAAGUACUUUCAGCGGGGAGGAAGGGAGUAAAGUUAAUACCUUUGCUCAUUGACGUUACCCGCAGAAGAAGCACCGGCUAACUCCGUGCCAGCAGCCGCGGUAAUACGGAGGGUGCAAGCGUUAAUCGGAAUUACUGGGCGUAAAGCGCACGCAGGCGGUUGAUUAAGUCAGAUGUGAAAUCCCCGGGCUCAACCUGGGAACUGCAUCUGAUACUGGUCAGCUUGAGUCUCGUAGAGGGGGGUAGAAUUCCAGGUGUAGCGGUGAAAU